GAUGAACGCUGGCGGCGUGCCUAAUACAUGCAAGUCGAGCGAACGGACGAGAAGCUUGCUUUUCUGAUGUUAGCGGCGGACGGGUGAGUAACACGUGGAUAACCCACCUAUAAGACUGGGAUAACUUCGGGAAACCGGAGCUAAUACCGGAUAAUAUUUUGAACCGCAUGGUUCAAAAGUGAAAGACGGUCUUGCUGUCACUUAUAGAUGGAUCCGCGCUGCAUUAGCUAGUUGGUAAGGUAACGGCUUACCAAGGCAACGAUGCAUAGCCGACCUGAGAGGGUGAUCGGCCACUCUGGAACUGAGACACGGUCCAGACUCCUACGGGAGGCAGCUGUAGGGAAUCUUCCGCAAUGGGCGAAAGCCUGACGGAGCAACGCCGCGUGAGUGAUGAAGGUCUUCGGAUCGUAAAACUCUGUUAUUAGGGAAGAACAUAUGUGUAAGUAACUGUGCACAUCUUGACGGUACCUAAUCAGAAAGCCACGGCUAACUACGUG
rnacentral:rRNA from 1 species